CAUGCGCAGAUGUUAAUUCCGCCUCGCGAAAACAUUCAAAACAAAAACACUCGAAACGAAAAUAAAAUAUUCACCACCACCUGGUUUGCCAACAUCGUCUUUACAAGGAAUGUCCAGCAGUGCAUGACAGAGGCCGGUCACUCCCAUUAAGUCCAGCUGAAGAGCCUUCCCAGUUUAUAGGACAAAAUGCAGUUACACAGAUUUUAACGGUGUUGGAAACAAUCAGAGACGAGAACAGGGAAACGAAGCGGAUGCUGCAGCGGCUCUUGGCUAGGUCAGCUACUGAUGACGAGCCAAUGCAACUGCCAGAGAACAUCAGUCUUCCAAUUGGAACAUUUGAGCAAAUGGAUGAGUUUGAAGAGCAUCUUGGUGAUGAAGCUACGAUCCAUCUUUUCUAGGACUGCUGCAUAGUUCAAGCUUUUUUAUCAAAUAUAUUAAGCAAUGUUGUCAAUGUAAUUGACAGUUCUUUCUUCAUUGAUCCUAAACCAUUCCUUUAAGGCUCAUCUUCUAAGAAAGCAUACAAUUUUUUUUAUCUGGAAAUGAAAUGGUAUAUAUUCCUUUGCAAAAGAAGAAACAGCAUUCCAGUUUUUGAAGGUUUUAAAAGACAUAUAUAUAUAUAUAUAUAUAUCAUGUGCAAUUACGAAAAACACUAGAAUGUAUGAAGAUAUCAAAGAUAAUAAUAUGGACUUGUUCUCGAAAAAGGAUUUGCCAUUUAUUUGAGUUUUGGAUUUUUUUGCAGGGUUUUUAAUUUCUAGUUUAUAAAAUAUUUUGUUUAGUCUUGCAAGUAUGUUUCAAAGCUCUAGAUAAGGAUUUGUGAAAUUAGUAACGGUAUUGCCACUGACAGAAAGAAAAGGAGUAACGCUGAAAAUCAAUUAGUACCUGUACUACCAUAUCCAAAAAUACAGGUAGUACUGUACUACCCGUGUUCUUGGAUAUUGAUGGGUGUAUACCUUACUUUACAGAAACAUUUGCAGCAAUUAUAAUAAAUAUAUUUUGCUUCUUAAACAGUUACUUUAUUAGGUUUUCCAUUCUGAAUUAUGAUGCAAAUACAACUACACAUUAAAACUCAUGACUAAA